rnacentral:rRNA from 1 species
UACGAAGGGGGCUAGCGUUGCUCGGAAUCACUGGGCGUAAAGGGCGCGUAGGCGGAUCUUUAAGUCGGGGGUGAAAGCCCAGGGCUCAACCCUGGAAUUGCCUUCGAUACUGGAGAUCUUGAGACCGGAAGAGGUAAGUGGAACUGCGAGUGUAGAGGUGAAAUUCGUAGAUAUUCGCAAGAACACCAGUGGCGAAGGCGGC